rfam:Bacillus sp. LL01 scaffold190.1, whole genome shotgun sequence.
UACCUCUUUAACCCAGUCCUGCGAGGCUGACAAGAGGGUCGCUCCUUACUAGUAGUCUGAUCUCUUUAUCAGACCAGUUAGGUGAAACCUCUUUGUCAUACGCAAAGAGGUUUUUUGUUU